UGACCGGCUCUGGCGCACCUGCCUUGGGAGGAUGAGGAGGACAAAUGGAGGCGGAGAAGGAGAAGGAGGAGGAGGAGGAGGGAGAGGAGGUGAGGAAACGCGGGGUCGCAGCUGGUUCAAAACGGGCACCCAACGUCAAAAUAUGGCCAGGGAACGCGCGUUCUGGCCGAUCAUUCGAAUACGGCCGUUAACAAAA
rnacentral:ribozyme from 11 species